UGGGAUGUUGGUAUACCAUGGGUAAAAUGC
rnacentral:piRNA from 1 species